rnacentral:lncRNA from 1 species
AAGUUUAUAUUGAAAUGUACGUUGCUUCUUGUGGCCCUUUCAACACUGAUUGUUUUACAUGAUAAUGUCUUAAUUAUUACUUGAAUUUUUUGUAUUCUUUACUUGAUAUUAUAGGACUUGCUAACUGGUGGUACGGACCCCAUUGUGAAAUCGAGGAUUGCAAAAAGUUGCAGGGUAAAAGGACGCAGAUGCUCAUCAACCC